rnacentral:other from 1 species
CAAAAUAAUAACAACGAGAACAAUAUCAAAGAUACUCUAGAACAGCAUCGACAACAGCAGCAGGCAUUCUCGGAUAUGAGUCAUGUGGAGUAUUCAAGAAUUACA